UACGUAGGGCGCGAGCGUUGUCCGGAUUUAUUGGGCGUAAAGAGCUCGUAGGCGGCUUGUUGCGUCGGCUGUGAAAACCCAUGGCUCAACCGUGGGCCUGCAGCCGAUACGGGCAGGCUAGAGUUCGGUAGGGGAGACUGGAAUUCCUGGUGUAGCGGUGAAAUGCGCAGAUAUCAGGAGGAACACCGGUGGCGAAGGCGGGUCUCUGGGCAGAUACUGACGCUGAGGAGCGAAAGCGUGGGGAGCGAACAGG
rnacentral:rRNA from 1 species